GCCCAAAAAAAAGCCCAUAAGAAGUAGUUCGGUCCAGCAAGUCAGGGGAUGGCAUGUGCCAUGCACGUGAUGUGCUUCCAGCACAUGUGCACACCAUCGCAUGUGUGGGAGAGCCCACCUGCACAUGCAGGGCAAUCGAUCGCAAGAAAAAACACGUGAGGCAUGCGAACAGGCAACUAUGCAUGCCUAGUGCACGCUGACGUGCUCGCAGGACACGUGCAACAUGUACACAGCAGUGCACAAAUGCACUG
rnacentral:lncRNA from 1 species